rnacentral:rRNA from 1 species
AAUGAACGCUGGCGGCGUGCUUAACACAUGCAAGUCGAGCGAGAACGUCGACUUCGGUCGACUAGUAAAGCGGCGAACGGGUGAGUAACACGUGGGCAACCUGCCCUGGAGUGGGGGAUAACCUGGGGAAACUCGGGCUAAUACCGCAUACGACCUCAGCACUGCGGUGCUGAGAGGAAAGCUAGCCUAUUCAUGAAAGCUAGCGCUCCUGGAGGGGCCCGCGCCCGAUUAGCUUGUUGGUGAGGUAACGGCUCACCAAGGCGGUGAUCGGUAGCCGGCCUGAGAGGGCGAUCGGCCACACUGGGACUGAGACACGGCCCAGACUCCUACGGGAGGCAGCAGUGGGGAAUAUUGGACAAUGGGCGCAAGCCUGAUCCAGCAACGCCGCGUGGAGGACGAAGGCCUUCGGGUCGUAAACUCCUGUCAGUUGGGACGAAAAGCCGUCGGUCAAUAUCCGGCGGUCAUGACGGUACCAGCAGAGGAAGCCCCGGCUAACUCCGUG